rnacentral:lncRNA from 1 species
CUCCCCCUCCCCUCUCCGCUCUCGCUCUCCGUGAUUUAUUACUUGCCCUGCUGCUUCUGACAAACUAUUUGUAGGAAAAUGAGAUUUGGUCCGCGCUGGAUGGCUCCUCUGGGAGGCAGGCGUGGGGGUCGGGUGUCGGAGGCCCCGUGCGCCCCCCCACCCCCCACCAGAGCCCACGGCGCUCACGGAGCUCUUUAAGAUAAAUGAGCAAAAUUAAGAGACUCACUGGGGGAAGAAAACACUGGAUGGGAGCGAGCGAGAGCGGAUGGUACUUGGUUUCCUCCCAGAAAUGCAUCCACGUGCGCCCCACUGGGGCCUCCCCCAUCUGCUGCAGACUCCAGGGAACUUCCUCCCCUCAAAGACGAACUUCCAGCCCUGGAGCAUGUUUCUUCCUUUCCUGGGAUGUGGCGCUGAAAAGGGCAGAAACCUCUAGUAAGGCACAAGCAACAGAUUGGGGGUGGAGCAGCAGGUCUCUUUGGAGGUGGCCUGGAAGAAACCGGACAGAGAGGAUGGGAAGGGGAGAAACAGAAGAGUGUGACGAGAUCAUGAAGGAAAGAGGAGGCGUCUACUGAAUGUAAGGUAGAGCCAAAGGCAUCUAUUGAUGACUGAAGAAGAGGCAUGAAUAUGACAAAAACAGGAAGGGAAAUUGAGAAUCCGCCAAGAAGAAAGA